UGCAUAGGAAUCUGCCCGAUAGUGGGGGAUAACCUGGGGAAACCCAGGCUAAUACCGCAUACGUCCUACGGGAGAAAGGGGGCUUCGGCUCCCGCUAUUGGAUGAGCCUAUGUCGGAUUAGCUAGUUGGUGAGGUAACGGCUCACCAAGGCCACGAUCCGUAGCUGGUCUGAGAGGAUGAUCAGCCACAUCGGGACUGAGACACGGCCCGAACUCCUACGGGAGGCAGCAGUGGGGAAUAUUGGACAAUGGGGGCAACCCUGAUCCAGCCAUGCCGCGUGUGUGAAGAAGGCCCUCGGGUUGUAAAGCACUUUCAGCGAGGAAGAACGCCUAGCGGUUAAUACCCGCUAGGAAAGACAUCACUCGCAGAAGAAGCACCGGCUAACUCCGUGCCAGCAGCCGCGGUAAUACGGAGGGUGCAAGCGUUAAUCGGAAUUACUGGGCGUAAAGCGCGCGUAGGUGGCUUGAUAAGCCGGUUGUGAAAGCCCCGGGCUCAACCUGGGAACGGCAUCCGGAACUGUCAAGCUAGAGUGCAGGAGAGGAAGGUAGAAUUCCCGGUGUAGCGGUGAAAUGCGUAGAGAUCGGGAGGAAUACCAGUGGCGAAGGCGGCCUUCUGGACUGACACUGACACUGAGGUGCGAAAGCGUGGGUAGCAAACAGGAUUAGAUACCCUGGUAGUCCACGCCGUAAACGAUGUCGACCAGCCGUUGGGUGCCUAGCGCACUUUGUGGCGAAGUUAACGCGAUAAGUCGACCGCCUGGGGAGUACGGGCCGCAAGGUUAAAACUCAAA
rnacentral:rRNA from 1 species